ACGAACGCUGGCGGUGUGCUUAACACAUGCAAGUCGAACGGAAAGGCCCCUUUGGGGGUACUCGAGUGGCGAACGGGUGAGUAACACGUGAGUAACCUGCCCUUGACUUCGGGAUAACUUCAGGAAACUGGGGCUAAUACCGGAUAGGAAUCCUUGCUGCAUGGUGGGGGUUGGAAAGCUUCGGCGGUUUUGGAUGGACUCGCGGCUUAUCAGCUUGUUGGUGGGGUAGUGGCUUACCAAGGCUUUGACGGGUAGCCGGCCUGAGAGGGCGACCGGCCACAUUGGGACUGAGAUACGGCCCAGACUCCUACGGGAGGCAGCAGUGGGGAAUAUUGCACAAUGGGCGGAAGCCUGAUGCAGCAACGCCGCGUGCGGGAUGACGGCCUUCGGGUUGUAAACCGCUUUCAGCAGGGGCGAAGCUUGUGGUGACGGUACCUGCAGAAGAAGCACCGGCUAACUACGUG
rnacentral:rRNA from 1 species